rnacentral:rRNA from 1 species
UAAAUAUAAUUACGGCACAAAGUGGAUGCCUUGACUCAUACAUCCGAAGAAGGACGUACAAAGCUGCGAUAAGCCUGGGUAAGCUGCUACGACGCGUUACAGCCCAGGAUCUCCGAAUGGGGGAACCCUCUCUGCCUCGGCAGAGAAUCGCGAUAUGCGAAGGACACGACCCGAAUUGAAAUAUCUUAGUAAGGUCGGAAAAGAAAUCAACCGAGAUUCCGAAAGUAGUGACGAGCGAAAUUGGAACAGCCCAAACCAUUAUGGUGCCAAGGAUAAGCCCGUUGCCAUAGUGGGGUCACAAGACAUGUUAUCGCAAAGCUUAAAUAGCGACACUCCAUAGGGAAUACAGAAAAAUGAUCUGGAAAGGUCAGCCAAAGAAGGUUAUAGCCCUGUAUUUGAAAUAUCUCCCUAGCGGGUGCGACAUGCUCUUAAGUAGCAUCGGCCACGUGAAAGCCGGUGUGAAGUCAGGACGACCACGUUCUAAGGCUAAAGAGUGUAUGAGAUCGAUAGUGAACAAGUACUGUGAAGGAAAGGUAAAAAGAACCCCGGAAGGGGAGUGAAAUAGAUCCUGAAACUUUGUGCUAACAAAGAGUCGGAGCUCUUCGGAGUGACGACGUGCCUUUUGGAGAAGGAACCAACGACUUACGUAUGCGUGGCAAGGUUAAGGCAGAUACAGCCGGAGCCGUAGGGAAACCAAGUCUGAAUAGGGCGAUCAGUCACGUAUAGUAGACCCGAAACCCGUGUGAGCUACUUAUGCCCAGGCUGAAGCCCCGUUAAACCGGGGUGGAGGGCCGAACCAUUUAGAGCUGCAAGUCUAUUGGAUGAGGUGUGAGUAGGAGUGAAAAGCUAAUCGAACCGGGAGAUAGCUGGUUCUCCGCGAAAUAUAUUUAGGUAUAGCCCAUAAUAGUAACUGAGAGGGGUAGGGCUCUGAUAAGACUAGCGGGUCUAUUCCGACUUAGCAAAUCUUGAUAAACUUCGAAUACUCUCAGUGUAAAUGUUAUGGAGUCGGACAGUGACGGAUAAGCGCCAUUGUCAAAAGGGAAACAGCCCAGAUUCCUGUCUAAGGUCCCCAAGUUAUAACUCAGUGGAAAAGGAUGUGCGAUUACUAUGACAGCCAGGAUGUUGGCUUAGAAGCAGCCACUCAUUUAAAGAGUGCGUAAUAGCUCACUGGUCGAGUGAUUGUGCGCCGAAGAUUCAGCGGGGCUUAAGUUAUACACCGAAGACGGAAGAUACAUAUUUAAUUAUGGAUCGGUAGCGGAGCGUUCCCUAGGCCUGUGAAGCAGUCGGAUAACCUACUGUGGAGGUAUGGGAAGUGCAAAUGUUGGUAUGAGUAACGUAAUGAAGGUGAGAACCCUUCACACCGAAUACCCAAGGUUUCCUGUCCUACGUCAGUCGUGGCAGGGUUAGUCGGUCCUAAGGUCAACCCGAAAGGGGCAAGCCGAUGGAUAUCUGGUUAAUAUUCCAGAACUAUAUAUGAAAGGUUAUUACCUAUGUGGGGACGCAUCUCAAGUAUUGGACACGGUCAUGAAUAUCCGUGAAGAAUGUCGCUUUUGGUUAUGUAGGCAAAUCCGCAUAACAAUACAGAAGUGGUAUGAUUUUAUAGAAAGCGAAGCUUCGGCAGAGUCGACUAUAAUCCUACAAUAUAAGGGUGCCAAGAAAAACCACUAUGGGACGAUCAUAUGUAACCGUACCGAAAUCGAACACUCGUGGGUAGGUGUGAGUACACUAAGGUGGACGGGAUAACUAAACUUAAGGAACUCUGCAAAAAAGCGAUCGUAACUUCGGGAUAAGAUCUGCCUCCCUGGUAUUUUACCAGGAGGCCGCAGCGAACGAAUCCAGGCGACUGUUUACCAAAAACACAGCUCUCUGCUAAAUCGUAAGAUGAUGUAUAGGGGGUGAUGCCUGUCCGGUGCCAGAAGAUUACGUGGAGGGGUGCAAGCUCUGAAAUUAAGUCCUGGUGAACGACGGCCGUAACUAUAACGGUCCUAAGGUAGCGAAAUUCCUUGUCGGGUAAGUUCC